rnacentral:rRNA from 1 species
AAUGAACGCUGGCGGCAGGCCUAACACAUGCAAGUCGAACGGGUCCUUCGGGACUAGUGGCGGACGGGUGAGUAACGCGUGGGAACAUACCCUUUGGUACGGAAUAGCCUCGGGAAACUGAGAGUAAUACCGUAUGUGCUCGUAAGAGGAAAGAUUUAUCGCCAAAGGAUUGGCCCGCGUUGGAUUAGGUAGUUGGUGGGGUAAUGGCCUACCAAGCCGACGAUCCAUGGCUGGUUUGAGAGGAUGAUCAGCCACACAGGGACUGAGACACGGCCCACACUCCUACGGGAGGCAGCAGUGGGGAAUCUUAGACAAUGGGGGAAACCCUGAUCUAGCCAUGCCGCGUGAUCGAUGAAGGCCUUAGGGUUGUAAAGAUCUUUCAGAUGGGAAGAUAAUGACGGUACCAUCAGAAGAAGCCCCGGCUAACUCCGUGCC